rnacentral:tRNA from 1 species
GGUAGGAUGGCUGAGAAUAAGCGGCGGACUGUAGAUCCGCAUACAGAGGUUUGAGCCCUCUUCUUAUCA